rnacentral:lncRNA from 1 species
GAAACAAGAGAGAGAAAGAGAGAAACAACAAUGGCGGUCUGUACUGUGUACACAGUCCAAUCCCUCAACUCAACCUACUCAAUCUCCACCACACCGGCGAAGAAAAACAACUUGCUGGGUUUCAACCAGAAGCAGGCCGUCGUUUUCUACAGCCGGAAAACCACCACCGCCACCAGAAGCGGCAGACCCGGCGCCGCCGUGAUAUCAUGCUCCGCCGCGGACAAAACAAUCGUGAUUGGGCUGGCGGCGGACUCCGGCUGCGGGAAGAGCACAUUCAUGCGGCGGCUGACGAGCGUAUUCGGCGGCGCCGCCGAGCCACCGAAGGGCGGGAACCCGGACUCGAACACGCUGAUCAGCGACACCACCACCGUGAUUUGUCUCGACGACUACC